rnacentral:rRNA from 1 species
GAUGAACGCUGGCGGCGUGCCUAAUACAUGCAAGUCGAGCGAACAGAUGAGGAGCUUGCUCCUCUGACGUUAGCGGCGGACGGGUGAGUAACACGUGGAUAACCUACCUAUAAGACUGGGAUAACUUCGGGAAACCGGAGCAAUACCGGAUAAUAUAUUGAACCGCAUGGUUCAAUAGUGAAAGACGGUUUUGCUGUCACUUAUAGAUGGAUCCGCGCCGCAUUAGCUAGUUGGUAAGGUAACGGCUUACCAAGGCAACGAUGCGUAGCCGACCUGAGAGGGUGAUCGGCCACACUGGAACUGAGACACGGUCCAGACUCCUACGGGAGGCAGCAGUAGGGAAUCUUCCGCAAUGGGCGAAAGCCUGACGGAGCAACGCCGCGUGAGUGAUGAAGGUCUUCGGAUCGUAAAACUCUGUUAUUAGGGAAGAACAAAUGCGUAAGUAACUAUGCACGUCUUGACGGUACCUAAUCAGAAAGCCACGGCUAACUACGUG